AAUUUCUCAACCUCACCAAGCUUUGCUGCUUGGUCUGGCUUGGAUGUGGGGGUUUUAUGCAGGCUCUGGUUUCACAGAGUCAGCUCCCCUGAAAUGCAUUAGCGGUGCCCCUGUGGUAAACGGCUACUGGUGUGAUAAUUAUCUACGCCGCUAGACGCCCACGUAUAGUGUGCGCUGCUUCUAACGGUCCAUUGACUUGGACAAGCUUAACAAAAAUGACAA
rnacentral:misc_RNA from 1 species